rnacentral:rRNA from 1 species
CCUACGGGUGGCAGCAGUGGGGAAUAUUGCACAAUGGGGGAAACCCUGAUGCAGCAACGCCGCGUGAGUGAAGAAGUAUUUCGGUAUGUAAAGCUCUAUCAGCAGGGAAGAAGAAAGACGGUGCCGGACGAAGAAGCGCGGGCUAACUACGUGCCAGCAGCCGCGGUAAGACGUAGGGGGCAAGCGUUAUCCGGAUUUACUGGGUGUAAAGGGAGCGUAGACGGCUGUGAAAGUCUGAAGUGAAAGCCCGUGGCUCAACCGCGGACCUGCUUUGGAAACUGUAUAGCUUGAGUACUGGAGAGGCAGGCGGAAUUCCUAGUGUAGCGGUGAACUGCGUCGAUAUUAGGAGGAACACCAGUGGCGAAGGCGGCCUGCUGGACAGCACCUGACGUUGCGGCUCGAAAGCGUGGGGAGCAAACAGGAUUCGCUACCCCGGUAGUC